UAUGUAGCAUAUUGUGUUUCAUUGCAUCUCCUUCCAUUCCAUAUUUAAUUUCUGUAAAUUAUUAUGCUUCUGUCAUUUCAGCCACUAGGCCUGAAGGUUGAAGUUACGAAUGAAGCUUUUUUCUCUAAACUCCCAGCGGCACCUGAAACGUUAGUGUCCAAUAACCAAGAGCAACUUCUGAAGAUCGUCAAAUCGAAAGGUGGCUACUAAUAUGUGGGUUGCCAGAUGUUAAUUGAGAAAAUGAAAGAAUCCAUUGGUCGCUAGCAGAGGUUGGGGAAUUAAAAUGUAAAGACUUGUUUAAUUAAGCGUUAUGUAGUCACUAGCUAGGGAGAUUGGUGACAGGGCAGCCAUGGAAAUUUGAAAGUCGUUGGAUUUCACAUGGAUCCUUUUUGUGCUUCAUUUAUCUUGCUUGCCAACUUCAACAAAUUUUUUAGGAGUCAUUUGUCAAAAUUGCAUAUAAGAUAUCACCUAUUACUGCUAGUUAUGCUACAUUCAGUUACUCAGAUUAACGUUCUGUUGUUUUGGU